rnacentral:rRNA from 1 species
UGGGGAAUAUUGGACAAUGGGCGCGAGCCUGAUCCAGCCAUGCCGCGUGAGUGAUGAAGGCCUUAGGGUUGUAAAGCUCUUUCGGCGGGGACGAUAAUGACGGUACCCGCAGAAGAAGCCCCGGCUAACUUCGUGCCAGCAGCCGCGGUAAUACGAAGGGGGCUAGCGUUGCUCGGAAUCACUGGGCGUAAAGGGCGCGUAGGCGGACAUUUAAGUCGGGGGUGAAAGCCCAGGGCUCAACCCUGGAAUUGCCUCCGAUACUGGGUGUCUCGAGACCGGAAGAGGUGAGUGGAACUGCGAGUGUAGAGGUGAAAUUCGUAGAUAUUCGCAAGAACACCAGUGGCGAAGGCGGCUCACUGGUCCGGUUCUGACGCUGAGGCGCGAAAGCGUGGGGAGCAAACAGGAUUAGAUACCCUGGUAGUCCACGCCGUAAACGAUGGAUGCUAGCCGUUGGCAGGCUUGCCUGUCAGUGGCGCAGCUAACGCUUUAAGCAUCCCGCCUGGGGAGUACGGCCGCAAGGUUAAAACGUCAAAUGAAUUGACGGGGUCAUAGCUGUUUCCU